GAUGAACGCUGGCGGCGUGCCUAAUACAUGCAAGUCGAGCGAACAGACGAGGAGCUUGCUCCUCUGACGUUAGCGGCGGACGGGUGAGUAACACGUGGAUAACCUACCUAUAAGACUGGGAUAACUUCGGGAAACCGGAGCUAAUACCGGAUAAUAUAUUGAACCGCAUGGUUCAAUAGUGAAAGACGGUUUUGCUGUCACUUAUAGAUGGAUCCGCGCCGCAUUAGCUAGUUGGUAAGGUAACGGCUUACCAAGGCAACGAUGCGUAGCCGACCUGAGAGGGUGAUCGGCCACACUGGAACUGAGACACGGUCCAAACUCCUACGGGAGGCAGCAGUAGGGAAUCUUCCGCAAUGGGCGAAAGCCUGACGGAGCAACGCCGCGUGAGUGAUGAAGGUCUUCGGAUCGUAAAACUCUGUUAUUAGGGAAGAACAAAUGUGUAAGUAACUAUGCACGUCUUGACGGUACCUAAUCAGAAAGCCACGGCUAACUACGUG
rnacentral:rRNA from 1 species